UAGCUAGUUGGUGAGGUAAAGGCUUACCAAGGCGGCGAUCUGUAGCGGGUCUGAGAGGAUGAUCCGCCACACUGGAACUGAGACACGGUCCAGACUCCUACGGGAGGCAGCAGUGGGGAAUUUUGGACAAUGGGGGCAACCCUGAUCCAGCCAUGCCGCGUGAGUGAAGAAGGCCUUCGGGUUGUAAAGCUCUUUCGGCCGGGAAGAAAUCGCAUGGGCCAAUACCCUGUGUGGAUGACGGUACCGGAAUAAGAAGCACCGCCUAACUACGUGCCAGCAGCCGCGGUAAUACGUAGGGUGCGAGCGUUAAUCGGAAUUACUGGGCGUAAAGCGUGCGCAGGCGGUUUUGUAAGACAGGCGUGAAAUCCCCGGGCUUAACCUGGGAACUGCGUUUGUGACUGCAAGGCUAGAGUACGGCAGAGGGGGGUGGAAUUCCACGUGUAGCAGUGAAAUGCGUAGAGAUGUGGAGGAACACCAAUGGCGAAGGCAGCCCCCUGGGUCGAUACUGACGCUCAUGCACGAAAGCGUGGGUAGCAAACAGGAUUAGAUACCCUGGUAGUCCACGCCCUAAACUAUGUCAACUAGGUGUUGGGUGGGUAAAACCAUUUAGUACCGUAGCUAACGCGUGAAGUUGACCGCCUGGGGAGUACGGCCGCAAGGUUAAAACUCAAAGGAAUUGACGGGGACCCGCACAAGCGGUGGAUGAUGUGGAUUAAUUCGAUGCAACGCGAAAAACCUUACCUACCCUUGACAUGCCAGGAACUUGCCAGAGAUGGCUUGGUGCCCGAAAGGGAGCCUGGACACAGGUGCUGCAUGGCUGUCGUCAGCUCGUGUCGUGAGAUGUUGGGUUAAGUCCCGCAACGAGCGCAACCCUUGUCGUUAAUUGCCAUCAUUUGGUUGGGCACUUUAACGAGACUGCCGGUGACAAACCGGAGGAAGGUGGGGAUGACGUCAAGUCCUCAUGGCCCUUAUGGGUAGGGCUUCACACGUCAUACAAUGGUCGGUACAAAGGGUUGCCAAGCCGCGAGGCGGAGCCAAUCCCAGAAAGCCGAUCGUAGUCCGGAUUGCAGGCCGCAACUCGCCUGCAUGAAGUCGGAAUCGCUAGUAAUCGUGGAUCAGCAUGUCACGGUGAAUACGUUCCCGGGUCUUGUACACACCGCCCGUCACACCAUGGGAGCGGGUUCCGCCAGAAGUAGGUAGCCUAACCGCAAGGGGGGCGCUUACCACGGCGGGGUUCGUGACUGGGGUGAAGUCGUAACAAGGUAGCCGUAGGGGAACCUGCGGCUG
rnacentral:rRNA from 1 species